UACAAAGUUAGUGAACCUUUCCAUAGUGAAGCAUAACUGGAGGGAGAAAAAAAGUCUCAGUUCUUAAAGUAGAAAUGAAUCCAUUUUUAUAUUACUGUACUGCACACAAAGAAAUAUUUUAGAAAAAAAAUCACAGUUUAACUUCAAAAUGACAAACCUACAUUGAUGUUAAAAUAACAACCAAUUACUUAAGACAAUUCAGCACAAUUUUUAAAAAUGCCUAUUGCAUAGCACACCUUUCAUUUUAUAGCAGUCUCAAUGCGCUAUCUAUGUUUUAAUCUCUUCGGUGGACCAGUGGAGAAAGGGGGUAUCUGGACAAAGUUUUCCGUGCUGCCUUAAGAAAACACAACUUAGGUUGAAGUCAGAAUUUGAACUGAAAUCCCCUUCAUAGGUAGCCAAGCAGUUUAUGUCACUCAAUCACACAUUACAUGCACUAUGUAAAAAUUAAUCGUUAUCUUCAACUUGCAUGAACAGCUUUGAUCUAUAUGAAAAUGUACACAUUACUGAACAAUCAAAGUUCUAAAUCUAAAUAGCUUUGAUGAAUAGGAAAAGUGACCGCAGUAUCCAGUCUACCAAUAUUUUGUUAAAAGAGAGCUCUAGGUAAUCUCCCAAGUCUGCAGAUAGUCUUUCAAGUCUGCAGAUGGCUAGCAAUUUCAGGAGCAAGUGUUACUGGUUCUAAUUUUUAAAAUUGCUUUUAGUAUAAAAAGUGCAUCUUUCAUGCUCAAUAGCUUGCUCUGUGCACUAUGGGCCAAACUCUUUUGUGAAUCUGCAGGGGUAGAGGGAUCUGGGAGAAGGUUUCAGUGCUGCCUUUAGGCGCGCAGUAAACACAACUCACAUCAUGAUGGAUUUUGAAUGUAUGCUAGUAUGGUCCCCCCUUGAUAGGUAGCCAAGCCAUACAUUUCACCAUUUCUCAUCUUUAUGAAAAGCAGAACAUAUAGUGAUUUUAUUUUUUAAAAAUGCCAAAGAUACUUUCAUUUAAAAUUUAGUUAUUACAGCUAGGGAAAGGUAAUUUAGAUUUUUACAGCACAUUAUUUAACUAAAUAGACAUACCCUCUUAAAAAUUUACAAAUGUCCCCUGACUGUAUCACAUGACCAGCCUCAUCCCAGACUGACACAUUCAUGGAGCCUGUCUUGUCUGCCACUUUACAAGACCUGACAUCAUGUCCGUCUUUGGUUCUUGUUGGUUUGCCUGAAAUCAUUCAAAUAAAGCAGCUUUCUUCUUUGAUCUUAUCAAUUACAUAGUUCUUUCGAAAACAUAAUUACAUCCUAUGCGUUUCCAUGUGUUAAUCUAUUCAUGCAUUUUAAUGAGUGACUUAAACUCAUCUAAGUCAUUGGUUUUCCCUUAGCUGAUUCAGACCUGUUCCAUGCUUUAAUUGUUGCCCUAGCAUAUGGAAUAAAAAAUGUGCUUUUAUCUUUGUGUCUUUUUGAGUAUUUAUUAUGUUUUUGUGUAAAUUGUAAGUAAUGGUUCAGUGUUUAUAUAUUAUUGCUACUUUAGUUUUGCAGUCUUCUGCGCUAAAAUGUCUUUAUAUUUAGUGAUUUUACUAAUUGUGUUUACUCUAGUAAAAAGUGAAUAUUCAUUUGUUAUUUAAUUGUUACAUGGAUAAUUCCAUCAAACACAUGUUUUUUUUUACAAUUAUUUAAGUGUAUAAGAUUUGAGACAUGAAAUAUACUGAAAAAGAAAUAACUCAUUCCUCAAUGUUAUGUUAAAAAACCUUAACCAGUCAAACAAAGGUAAAAUUAUUAGCCACUUUAGCUUUAUAUGCUGGAAUCUGUUAAUAGGUUUUGUCUUUGAGAGGAGACAUAUUUUAGAGGGAGGUUGUUGUUUUUUUUAAAAGCCAUGACGCAGUAAAAUCACUGACCUUACCCUGGCCCAGUAAAAACACUGACCCUAUAUAUCUCCCAAUAUGUCAAACAAAAGCAGAAUUAUUUUGCAACUAUGACAAGACAAUGGUAGCAUUGAGUAGCAGUUAUUUUUAAAAUUCUUUUCUUUACUUACCAACUUCUAAGACAAUAAAAAUGAUGUGUAAAUUCUUCAUUCCUGGUCGAAUAUCUUUUAACGACAGGUACUGCUGCUCAGGAACAGUUUUACCUCGAUCUACUUGCAUCAUCAUCUUUUUUUUACUUCUCCUUAAAAACAAUCUGGAUGAGAAAAAAAAAUCAUUAUUAUAUAUUUAGCCACUUUUUAUAGACUUUAAAACAAAAGGGGAAAUAAGAGUUGAGAACAGUGACAUCCAAACAAACAGCACUGUGUGACAUAUCAUGCCCCCGUGAUGCAGAACUAUCCAAUCACU